rnacentral:misc_RNA from 1 species
GUGCUCUCCUGCUGCGAUCGAUUCCCCGUCGUCUCCUCCAAUCCAAUCCUGAGCCUCUGUAGCCUCGAAUUCACCCCCGACGUCGAUCGCGCUUGGUCCCGCUUCUGACGCUUUGAUUUGGUGCUGUGAAGCUUCCGGGAUGGGGGGAAAGCGCGCGCAGCGGAAGGGUGCGGCGGUUGAUCAGCUUGACAGCAGCGAUGAUGCGGAUAGUGUGAGUUCUACUUCGACGGCCAUGUCGGACUUGACGGUGGCCAACGUGGGCGAGACGGAGAAGGUGAAUUCCUUGGAUUUUACUCUGGAGAAGUGCUUGGAUGCACUUUAUGAGAAGAGGGGAUCUACGAGGGAGAAGGCCUUGUCGACGCUUAUUGAUGCCUUUGAGGG